UACGUAGGGUGCAAGCGUUGUCCGGAAUUAUUGGGCGUAAAGAGCUCGUAGGCGGUUUGUUGCGUCGGCUGUGAAAUCCCGAGGCUCAACCUCGGGUCUGCAGUCGAUACGAGCAAACUAGAGUGUUGCAGGGGAGACUGGAAUUCCUGGUGUAGCGGUGAAAUGCGCAGAUAUCGGGAAGAACACCCGUGGCGAAGGCACUUUACUGGGCUAUUACUAACACUCAGAGACGAAAGCUAGGGUAGCAAAUGGG
rnacentral:rRNA from 1 species